rnacentral:rRNA from 1 species
GUGCAGCAGUCGCGAAACCUCCGCAAUACACGAAAGUGUGACGGGGCCAUCCCGAGUGCCGUCCGCUGAGGACGGCUUUUCCCCAGCGUACACAGCUGGGGGAAUAAGGAGAGGGCAAGCCUGGUGUCAGCCGCCGCGGUAAUACCAGCUCUCCGAGUGGUGGGGACGCUUAUUGGGCCUAAAGCAUCCGUAGCCGGCUGGGCAAGUCCUCCGUUAAAUCCAACGAUUCAAUCGUUGGGCUGCGGGGGAUACUGUCCAGCUUGGGGGCGGGAGAGGCCGACGGUAUUCCCGGGGUAGGGGUGAAAUCCUAUAAUCCCGGGAGGACCACCAGUGGCGAAGGCUGCCGGCUAGAACGCGCCCGACGGUGAGGGAUGAAAGCUGGGGGAGCGAACCGGAUUAGAUACCCGCGUAGU